GACGAACGCUGGCGGCGUGCUUAACACAUGCAAGUCGAACGGAAAGGCACUGCUUUUGUGGGGUGCUCGAGUGGCGAACGGGUGCGUAACACGUGAGUAACCUGCCCUUGACUUUGGGAUAACUUCAGGAAACUGAGGCUACUCCCGGAUAGGAGCUCCUGCUGCAGGGUGGGGGUUGGAACGUUUCGGCGGGUGGGGAUGGACUCGCGGCUUAUCAGCUUGUUGGUGGGGUAGUGGCUUACCCAGGCUUUGACGGGUAGCCGGCCUGGGAGGGUGACCGGCCACAUUGGGACUGAGAUACGGCCCAGACUCCUACGGGAGGCAGCAGUGGGGAAUAUUGCACAAUGGGCGGAAGCCUGAUGCAGCAACGCCGCGUGCGGGAUGACGGCCUUCGGGUUGUAAACCGCUUUCGCCUGUGACGAAGCGUGAGUGACGGUAAUGGGUAAAGAAGCACCGGCUAACUACGUG
rnacentral:rRNA from 1 species